AAUAGGAGGCUGCUGAGAUAAGCCUGAGUUCUGACGGGGUGGAAAGGCUCUUUUCUUUCUUUUCCAACUUUGUUCUCUUGUGUUUUAGGAUGGGAAACACAUGAUCCCGGAACAGAGGAAUAGUGUUCAGGAGUUAGAACACGCUCAGGGGUGUAAGAACUUGAAAGGUGAAGAAAGUUCAUGAAAGGGUUCAACGUCAUGAAACCAGGCUCACCGUUUCAUCUGGCUUCCAGAUUGAGAAGACAAAAGAAGCAGAGGCCCCACUGACCCACAGCCUGCUGGGGAGCCACAGCCAGCCAAUAUUCCUCCUUCGAGCAGUCAUUGUUACCUACAGUUUUACAACACUGGAGUUUAUAAACUGCUAUCAAAGAGACAACCUCCUUUGUGACUCACAACUUCAUUAAGAGCUUGAAUAAAAUUUCCCACUUGAGAAACACAUCUGUCAGGUGAUGUCAACGCCUGGCUUACUCCUCUUCCUGUUGGGUUGCAAACAUGGCAUUCUCUCAUGGUCCUGGAAUGCUGACAUGGUCCGGUGGCAAAAACCAAACACAGGACACUAUUACAUAUAGAAGGGGAACUGGUACUUUUGACUAAAGGAAAAUGGCCCUGGCCUUCCUUUGUGUUCGAUGACUUCGGAGAGCUCAUCGUUAUGGGCGGUGGAUGGUGUGCUGUACUUUGAAGCCCUGAGGGUAAGGCCUUUUGGUUGUAAAGUAGUAUUCCUCAUCUUGGUUAUGUGCUAGUACAGUGUAUCAAACAAAAGAAACAGGAUAAAGAUAAAGACAUCACUGAGAAAAAAAUAUGAAAUCACCUAUGUAAUUAAUUAUUUUUAGUUAACUAUUUAUGCUGAGUUCUGUUUAGACUGCAAGAAGGAAGUGACUCUGGAAGACUUUGAGUGCAAACACUCAUUAUCAGUUAUAUCAAACAGCAUUUUACAUUGAGUCAGCAAGUUGUGAGAACACAGAUUGCUCUCCUGAAUUCUAGCAAAUACAGCUCAGUCAGUACAAGGAGGCAGUGAUUUCCUUUUAGCCAGUUUGUAAUCUUAAAUGAUAACUAUUCCAUGUCCUUCAAAAUUGAAUGAGGGUCAAUACAAGAGCUGACUGUCCAUCUCACAUUCUAUUCAAACUAUGGUUCAUUUGGCCCUAUAAUUCAGUUUUUAUUUUUAAGGAGAACUUACAUGCUUGCCUUUCUAUUCUGUUUACUUUUUUUUUUUUUUAAUUGUUCCUUGACCUUCCAUCACUGCAAAAAUAUAGCGAGAGCUCCUUCCCAGGCAGUUCUUGAGUGCCUUGGGGGCCUCCCCAUAUACGGCAGGAGGGUAGCUGAGAAGGCAGAGGAGUCUUGGGAAAUAAUUUUUGAUUUUGGCUCUGGAAUGUAAAUCAUGAACUUUUAUGUCUGGCCAUAUUCAAUACUAAAAUGUUUGUCAAUAAUUUGGAACAGUGUCUUCACUCCAAACCACACUAUUUAAGAAUGAAAACUUGAGAGUUUAAUGACAGAGCAGUUUAAUAUACACAUAUACAAUUUAUAUAUAAUGAUAUAUAUAGUUAUAUAUUAUUAUAUAUAAUGAAUACAGUAUACCAAAGUAUAUAGGUAUAAGUUACACACACACACACACACACACGUGUGUAUAAAUGUAUAAUACAAGAAACAAAGUGAAACAGAUUUCCCAUGUGCUUAAAAAUACCUUGCUGGAUUUCAUAUAAUUCAAAAACAGUUUAGGGGCAUGUGGGUGACUCGGUUGGUUUAGGUCUGCCUUUGGCUCAGGUCAUGAUCCUGGAGUCCCAGGAUUGAGCUCCAUGGCGGGCUUCCUGCUCAGCAGAGAGCCUGCUUCUCCCUCUCCCUCUGCCCCUUCCCCCUGCUCACUCUCUCUCUCCCAAAUAAAUAAAUAAAAUCUUAAAAAGAACUAUUUAUAGAACAACAGCUGUGUACUAGAUGUUAGCAACAGAGAGGAAAUAAGAUAUACAGAUUUGGUCCUUAAGGUUCUUAUGGUGUAAUUUAGAAGACUGGAAAAUAAACAGUCACAAAAUAUAAUUUUGUGACCAGGUAGGCAGCAGAAAAGCUAUAUCCAGGCCACUGUGCGCUACAGGUGUACACAAUGCUCUCAAGGGUGUAAAAAUGUGCAGAGAAUACUUGAGAGAAAAUUCGACCUAUAAGUUUGCAUUCUGACUUCAGCUUCUUCUUGUGUAUGAUCAUCAGAUUUAUACAAAAUCCUUCAAAGCCCACAUUAUUGUUGUUUUAAGUUAUGUCCCUGACUAGAUGCAAUUUUUUUUCAAUCCUGACAUUUUGUUAUUCUGUGAUGAAAGAAAUUCAGUCUAGCUGUUUGUUUUGUAAGAAGCAUAAAGUUUUGAAAAUAACACUGUCCUCCCCACUCCCAUUUUUUAUUGUUGUUGUUUCUUAGAAUUUCUUAGACCUUAGCCCCACAUGUGUCAGAGACAGUUAGAGAGAUUUUGUGACUCAUUUAAUAAAUGAUUACCUUGGUACUCAACUCUGAUGUAAUGAUCAUUGCAGAAAUGAAUGCUUUCAAGAUUGCUGAGUUUUGGUUAAAUCUAGGUUACAGUAACAUGAAUUAUGACACGUUUUAUCUUUACUUAAGUUAUCAAGACCAUACUGGAUUAGCCUGCAGGAAAUCUGGUCAAUUUUCAUGAUAAACUGACUUGGGUUAUAUAACGUACAACUCAGUGGCACAGCUGUAUAGCAUGGUGUGUUCUCUGAGGCAUGCAGCUUUACCCAUAGAUUCGCAUCAAGAAAAAUCUGCUUCACUAAAUCUGAUUCAUAUCUCAGAAGCAUAUAAAUGUGUGCAUAUUCGUUUUUAACAUAAAAGCAAAUUAUAGACUUCACUAAAACACUGCAUAUAUUUUUCCUAAAGUCCACAUGCCAGGUUUUGAAAAACCACAGGAAUUGUUGUGGAAGUUUUUUCUCAACAUUCUUGGGAUGAAUCUAUUGUUUAGAAAAACCUCACUUUUUUUCUACUCAGAGUUCCAAAAAAACACUCCUUCGUGGGUAUUUAGAUCAGGUGUUGAGUUUUUUAUGGUGAAGAGGCUGGAUGGCAUCGUGGCUGAGACUAUGAGUAUUGGAAUCAUAGGCUGUGUGUACUCCUUUUCUGUUUUCAUAAUUGUUAAAUGCCAUAACAUGAACAAAACCCAUAUAUACAAAUGGUUUUCUUUCAUCCCCAUCUGUGUUUGAGAUGAGGACAACAAGGGAGUGUAGAAAUCACUCUAUUAUAGGUCCAAUCCCCACUGGAGUUACCGUCCUGGUUUAACUUAGACCCAGAAUACAUGUCUAUCAAUAAGGACAAAAGAUUAACGUGAGUCUUGAAGGUACCGAGGCUCCCUGAGUUCAGUGACAACGGGUAGAAAAAGGGACCAUGAAGCUGUAUGGAAGCUGCUGACAAUGGAUGGUGAGAGCUAAGGUAGGUAUGCUAAGGGGGGUUUCCACAAACCUUGUUGAAAAUACACCUCCUAGCCAUGAACAUCCUAGGGCAUUCUAUGAGCUGGAAAAGCCCUGCCUAGAUAUAGUUCCAAUGUGUAGAAUAUCUGUUCCACAGUCACUGAAGUAAAAUUUCUUCCUCGAGCUUCAGCAAUGUGGAGUUCUUAAGGCUUUAGAGGAGAGGCAAUAGAGUGUUUCCAGAUGUUUGAAAAACAUCUUUGUAGGCAGAAUGCUCAGCAAAUGAGUUUUUACUUUGGCCGUGCUUACCUUUGAGGAAGUUCAGAGAUUUCAACUAUUUAAGUUGAAGUAUGAAGUCCAUCUUGAAUUCAAUUUUAGGUGAGUAUUAGGUUCUUUUUAAUUUCCUCUUUUGUGAGUGGCAUAGAAAUACACUCCUUAACCACCUGAUACAUGUCAGGGACAGGGUUGGACACGGUGAGCAAAUUAGUUGCUAAAUAUCCCCAACUUCUUGCUUGCUACUUUAUUGUUAUUAUUCGUGGUGAUUGUCAUUCUUCAGAAUCAUCAGAAAUAAUUAAUGGAGGUGAUGAAAUUGAUGUUACAUUUUUAUUCCUUGUUAGAGUAUUAGAAUGAUUAUUUGACAGAGAGACAUUGUGUAAAUUAAAUGCCAAAUGUUUUUAAGAUUUUAUAAAGAUGUUUAUUUACUAUCAUAUAAGCAUUUUUGUGAAUAGGAACAAGUUAAGAUUACUGGGUAAAUACAAAAUAAAAAUUAUAUUAAAUGCUGCUAAACUAUUUUAUCCAUCUGGGUCUAAGGCAAUAUUAUGGACAACUGAAACCCAAAUUUUGGUGUGCUAAAUAUACCUUAAGGGUUACAACACCAUUAGAACAUAGUCUGUGAACUAUAUAACUAAAUUUCACCAAUACUUCAAAAUUUUCAGAUGGUUUUAUUUUACAAGUUCACGAUUGCUAUAUUUAGUAUAAUUUUAAAAUCUUGAUACUCUACUAAUAAUUAAUAAUUUUAAUAACUUCUUUUGGUAUGUAUUUUUUCUAUUUCUCCCAAUACUCUGAGAUUGAAGAAAGCAGAAGGUUCUAUCCAUUCAUGCAGAAAAACUGAGCUAGAAAGUUAAUAGCACAGCUGGAAAGGCUAAUGAAUUUAACAUUUAAAAAUGCUUGUAGAGGUUCAAAGUCUAUCCCUGGGUCCCAGAGGUAGCUCUUUUUGAUAUAAUCAACCCCAACGUGAAACUUCAGAACCAUUUAAAUAUUCACUGGUGAAAUACAUUUGUCUGUACUACAACUUUCACAAUUUUUUCUCACGAUUGUCUUUCAUCACUCAUUAUUUGCUUCUGACAGUGCUCAUUUCUUUAUUCUCUUUAAAAAGACAAGUUGCUAAUUGACCAGCAAGGUAGCUGGCCCUGGUUGAAACUCUGUUAUUGAAUUCCUACAGUGGGAGUGAAAACAAAAAUAGGGAUGGAUACCCAUGUUAUGCCUACAAUUAACAGAGUAAACAUCUUAAUAGGCAUAGAAGACACAAACAGAUGUUCUAAUUGCAUGUCUGUGAGAAACUGCUGUUUACUGGUUCCACUCUGGCUUGGCCUUUGAGACCUCAGGAAGUUUCCCUCCCAGUGGGGAUUUCAGUGAUUUAUUGAUUUCAGUACAAUGAAUAUUUCAGAAACUAGCAGGAUUUUUAAGAGGUUAAAUACAUCCUUACAAAGGUUAGCUUUAAUUCAUGCUUGAAGGGAAUGCUUAACUCUGCUUUAAACCAGGCUAAGGAUGGUCACAUUUGCCACAUUCCUGCCUUAAGUGGGAAGGAACACGGACAGGGGAGCAGAAGGAUUUCCUAAGAGAGAAUGUAGAAAUAAAACGUUAGCACAGAUUUUUUUUUUUUCUCCCUAAAGUGAACAGAAAUGAGAGACGUAUGGAUAAUUGCAAACUCCUAAAAAUGCCUGGUUGAAAUGCUAAUUAGUCUUGACCAUAACAGUAAAGAUCUAUUUUAGACUUGUAUUUGAGAUGCUCAGAACUGAAUAAUAUAAUAAGGCUCAGAAAUUUGAAAGGUUUUUAAAUGCUUAAGAAAUGCUUAAUUUACCACUCACCUUCUAUAUUGAAUUUACAAAUUGAUUCUGAUGUAAUUGUUUGGCCAGUGUCUACCAGAAAGAGUCUAAAAAGCAAUUGAUGGCUACUUUGUAUUCUUCCACUUCCUUUCUUCUUCAUCACAGUCAUGGAUAUUGAUAAGCUCAUAUGUCCUCUUCGAUAUUAAUAAUGUUACUCAUUAUUUAUCCAGAAUACUUUUCCAGAAUUUACUUCAUGCCAGGUACUGUGCAAAUGCUCUAAACAAACUAUCUCAUUAAAAGAAUGCCAUUACAGGGGCGCCUGGGUGGCUCAGUGGGUUAAAGCCUCUGCCUUCGGCUCAGGUCAUGAUCUCAGGGUCCUGGGAUCGAGCCCCGA